UAAAUGGAUUUAUUAAAAACCACACCCAUUAAACAACAAAUGUAAU
rfam:Anopheles quadriannulatus strain QTAD4_A unplaced genomic scaffold supercont1.58, whole genome shotgun sequence.